UCAAUCAGGGCCAACUAACACCUCCCAACAAAGGAUUCCCCUCUAGGCGAGGAAUCGGACAGGCCUUGAAGCUACAAGACCAUUAAAUGCGAAUGAAGGUGAUUAAUGACAACAUUCACACUUGCCUCCAACAGACAAAAGAUCUUUUUUCCCACCCUGGACCUUCCACAGAUAUAUAAACCCCACUUGGAUAGUUUCCAACAGACCUCACAACCUCUGAGGAUGCCUGCCAUAGAUGCGGGCGAAACGUCAGGAAAGAAUGUUUCUGGAACAUGGUCACACAGACCGGAAAACUCACAGCAACACACCUCAUUUCCAGGAAGCGGAGAUCUUUGGAUGGAGCACAAAGUCAAGAUUUAACUCUCUGCGGCCCAUCCGAAAAGGAUGCCAGUCCCAAAAGGCAAAUGUUAGAUGAAUAUUGGAGUGUAUUCCCAGGUAUUGUGGCCUUUGAAAUUUCCAGGAAGGAAGGAAAGGUCUCUCCCUCCCUCCUGAUUUAUUUUAGGCUGCCAUCAGGGAUGCUAUACAAGUUUUCCCAUCCUUUCUUAGGUGAAAAACGUAGGCAACAAAUCCAGCCCAAGUUUGCCCAUAUCUGCACUUCAAAUCUAUGUGGAUUGGUCUACCUGCGAAAAUAGAGCAAAACUUUCUUCCUGAUGGCAGAUUUGCAGGGAUUUAUUCCGGAAGAGGAAUCUAGAACCGGCCUAUAUAAUGUUCUAGGUCUCCCAACCUCGCCUGUCUUUCCUCUUGUCUAGCACACAGUUGGCACUGUGCGAAGAUAGGAAUUCAUCUGGACACUUGACCACUCUCCAGUCCAGACUUUAUUUUGGUUUAAGAAAUCUAGAUUGGCAAAUUUGUGCUCUCUUUUGUCUGGAAUGGAGACAGUGAACACUCCCUUAGGCCAGAAUAUUGGGUGGGUGUUUGGGGGGAAUGCUCUGUCUUUGUUGGAUUUCCAGUUCAGGACAGCACUACACGAUUAAAGAGUUGUUAUUCCACUUUAAAUUCUAUUUCUUGCCUCCUCUUGGAUCCUGGGAUUUGCAGUUUAUCAUGCUGCGCCAGGGAGUUCUCGAGGAUUCUCAAAAGUAGAAUAACAACACUUUAAUAGUCAGAUAUCUCAUUGCAUAGGCAAACUUCGGCCCUCCAGGUGUUUGGGACUUCAACUUCAAGUCCCAAACACCUGGAGGGCCGAAGUUUGUUCAUGCCCAAUCUACAGUAUUAUAUGAUGCAGUUUUGCGAUGCAAAUUGGAAUUCAGAAUGGGAUUAUAUCGCAGUGUGGUCUUAAAUAAUCCAGUCCAAUGCAGUUUAUGAGGAUUCGGAAACUGGAUUAUAUGGCACUAUAGAUCCAGCCGAAUUUAGGAGCAGUCUUAUCCGACUUCAUGGCUACUGACCAUCCUUUCUUCCUCCGCAACCUCUUCAUUUCCUUCCUUUUUCAUCCAAAGCAAGGCACAAAAGCAUAGAGACGGGGCCAUCAAGGUCCCAUUUUUUGCUAUGGAACCGACUGAAAGGAAACAGGGUGUUGCUUUCUAUAGGUUUUCCUCCCCUUUGCCCUGUUAACCCCACUCUUUGGGAGGAAGAUGUCAUUCCCCUGACCCCAAACGAAGCUGCUGCUUUUUCUUUUCUUUUGUGGCCGAAACAAAAAGAAAGAAAGAGAGGAACCAGCGAAUAUUCCAGAAGCACUUUGGAUGUUUUUUUUUUGUUUUCCCAUGAUGACCAUGGAGGGUUUUUAUACAUCCGGUCGCCCUCCUACCGACUGAGCUAUUUUACUGUCUGUAAUUAAAACAAAAAAAAGAUGUUAAAAAAUAAAGUGACUAUUGAAAGAUCUGCAGGGUUUUCUCUUUUGGAAACGUGGUCCCUUUUCUACAUUAAGGAGGAUGGAUUUCUAAGUAACACUUUAACUGCUUAAUAUGGAAAUUUCCAAAACAUCUGGAUUCUGGAAUGCCUACGGAUGGAAUAAAAUACAGAUAGACCUUCCCCUCCCUUUUGGAAUAAUUAGAGCUGUAGUUUUAUGAAGGCUUCAGCCUUCUCUUCCAAAAAAUGCUAGCGCCUGAUCAAACUGCAAAUCCCAGAAUUCCAUGAGAUUGAGUACUUAAAAUUAUUACUGAUUGAUGAUGAUAAAUGGAAGCUCUUAUGUGUGCCCGCAAUCCAGUGUCACCCGCACAAUAAUGUGCCACUCAGGUUUGCAGAACUAAAAUACAGGAACUUUACUAAUUCCAAGAGAUCAAAAAAGUAGUAUUUACAGUGAUCCCUCUGAUUGCUUACAGAAGUCCACAAUCAUAAACAGUCCUUUCCCAGUCCACAAAUCUGCUUCAAAGAAGAAUACAGUUCUGGUUCUUCAACCUCUUUUCUCAGCAGCAAACAGGCCUCAAAAUAGCAAGGCCUCUCUGAGCACACAGCUCUCUCUACUAGCAAUUUGAGCCACCGGAGGCUCCAUUAUUAUUAUUAUUUUAUUAUGACACAGCAAACAAUAUAGAUAUGCUGGAUUUCAUAUCACAAAAUCACAAGUCGAACACUUCCCAAGUGUCUAGGACUGUGUGAUGUAUUUUCGGAUGUUGCACACAGAUCCCAGUAGGGUGGCCUUUUGCAGUUGACAGAUCGUAAUUUUGUCAAUGUCUAUUGUUUCCAAAUGCCGGCUGAGAUCUUUUGGCACGGCACCCAAUGUGCCCAUCACCACCGGGACCACCUGCACUGGUUUCUCCCAGAGUCUUUGAAGUUCUGAUAGCAGCUGAGUUUUUCCUGUUGUUUUUCGUCAAUGCGACUGUCACCUGGGAUGGCAACAUCAAUGAUCCAAACCUGUUUCUUUUCCACAACUGUGAUGUCUGAUGUGUUGUGUUCCAGAACUUUAUCAGUCUGGAUUCGGAAGUCCCACAGUAUCUUUGCGUGCUCGUUUUCCAAUACUUUUGCAGGUUUGUGAUCCCACCAGUUCUUUGCUGCGGGGAGGUGGUACUUGAGGCAUAAGUUCCAAUGGAUCAUUUGGGCCACAUAGUUGUGCCUCUGUUUGUAGUCUGUCUGUGCAAUUUUCUUACAGCAGCUGAGGAUAUGAUGAAUGGUUUCGUCGGUUUCCUUGCACAGUCUGCAUUUUGGGUCAUCAGCUGAUUUUUCGAUCUUGGCCUUAAUUGCCUUUGUUCUGAUGUCUUGCUCCUGGGUUGCAAGGAUCAGGCCUUCUGUCUCCUUCUUCAGGGUCCCAUUCGUGAGCCAGAGCCAGGUCUUCUCCUUAUCAGCUUUUCCUUCAGUUUUGUCAAGGAACUUUCCAUGCAAUGUUUUGUUGUGCCAGCUGUCAGCUCUAGUUUGUAGUGCGGUUUUCUUGUACUGGUUUUUUUUUGUCUGCUGUGGUUUGAGGAGUUUCUGAUUUUUGACUUCAAUCAAAGCAGGUUCUUUACUUUGCUUUACAUAUGCUGCCAGGGCAUGUUCUUCUUCUUUGACUGCUUAUUUUACUUGUAAGAGUCCUCUGCCACCAGAUCUUCUAGGCAGAUAUAGCCGGUCAACAUCACUGCGAGGGUGCAGUGAAUGAUGAAUGGUCAUGAGUUUUCUUGUUUUUCUGUCCAAAUUGUCCAGUUCCAUCUGUGUCCAGUUUAUAAUGCCAGCAGUAUAUCUUAUGACAGGUAUGGCCCAGGUGUUUAUGCCUUGAUGGUGUUGCCUUCAUUGAGCUUGCAUUUGAGAAUUACGAUCUGUCAACUGCAAAAGGCACCCUACUGGGAUCUGAUGUUUUAUUGUUGGUUGAUUUGCUUGUUGUUUUUGUUUGGAUUUUGCGCUGUUGUGUCCGGGCAUGGCCCCAUGUAAGCCGCCCCGAGUCCCUUUGGGGAGAUGGGGCGGGGUAUAAGAAUAAAGUUAGUUAUUAUUAUGAUCUGCGCACAUCAUCACACACUCCUAAACACUUGGGAAGUGUUCGACUUGUGAUUUUGUGAUACGAAAUCAUGCAUAUCUAUCUUGUUUGCUGUGUCAUACAAUGUCGUUGUGAUAAUAAUAAUAAUAAUAAUAAUAAUAAUAAUAAUAAUAAUAAUCACAGUCCUAGACACUUGGGAAGUGUUCGACUUGUGAUUUUGUGAUACGAAAUCAUGCAUAUCUAUCUUGUUUGCUGUAUCAUACAAUAUCGUUGUGAUAAUAAUAAUAAUAAUAAUAAUAAUAAUAAUAAUAAUAAUAAUCACAGUCCUAGACACUUGGGAAGUGUUCGACUUGUGAUUUUGUGAUACGAAAUCAUGCAUAUCUAUCUUGUUUGCUGUAUCAUACAAUGUCGUUGUGAUAAUAAUAAUAAUAAUAAUAAUAAUAAUCACAGUCCUAGACACUUGGGAAGUGUUCGACUUGUGAUUUUGUGAUACGAAAUCCAGCAUGUCUAUCUUGUUUGCUGUGUCAUAAUAAAUAAUAAUAAUAAUGAAAUCUCAGCUGGCAUUUGGAAACAAUAGACAUUGACAAAAUUACGAUCUGCCAACUGCAAAAGGCCACCUUACUGGGAUUUGUGUGCAUCAUCCGAAAAUACAUCACACAGUCCUAGACACUUGGGAAGUGUUCGACUUGUGAUUUUGUGAUAUGAAAUCAUGCAUAUCUAUCUUGUUUGCUGUGUCAUACAAUGUCGUUGUGAUAAUAAUAAUAAUAAUAAUAAUAAUAAUAAU
rnacentral:lncRNA from 1 species